rnacentral:rRNA from 1 species
GAGACAGCAGCCGCCGCGGGAAUACGUAGGGUGCAAGCGUUAAUCGGAAUUACUGGGCGUAAAGCGUGCGCAGGCGGUUAUAUAAGACAGAUGUGAAAUCCCCGGGCUCAACCUGGGAACUGCAUUUGUGACUGUAUAGCUAGAGUACGGCAGAGGGGGAUGGAAUUCCGCGUGUAGCAGUAAAAUGCGUAGAUAUGCGGAGGAACACCGAUGGCGAAGGCAAUCCCCUGGGCCUGUACUGACGCUCAUGCACGAAAGCGUGGGGAGCAAACAGGAUUAGAUACCCCCGUAGUCCCUGUCUCUUAUAC